AUGAACGCUGGCGGCGUGCCUCAUACAUGCAAGUCGAGCGAACAGACGAGGAGCUUGCUCCUCUGACGUUAGCGGCGGACGGGUGAGUAACACGUGGAUAACCUACCUAUAAGACUGGGAUAACUUCGGGAAACCGGAGCUAAUACCGGAUAAUAUAUUGAACCGCAUGGUUCAAUAGUGAAAGACGGUUUUGCUGUCACUUAUAGAUGGAUCCGCGCCGCAUUAGCUAGUUGGUAAGGUAACGGCUUACCAAGGCGACGAUGCGUAGCCGACCUGAGAGGGUGAUCGGCCACACUGGAACUGAGACACGGUCCAGACUCCUACGGGAGGCAGCAGUAGGGAAUCUUCCGCAAUGGGCGAAAGCCUGACGGAGCAACGCCGCGUGAGUGAUGAAGGUCUUCGGAUCGUAAAACUCUGUUAUUAGGGAAGAACAAAUGUGUAGGUAACUAUGCACGUCUUGACGGUACCUAAUCAGAAAGCCACGGCUAACUACGUG
rnacentral:rRNA from 1 species